CCAGCAGGUCUAUGGGGCAGCAGAUACCCUACAAUGAAUUACAAUGAUAGGACCAACUCAAAGCCUCCAAGCCAUGGGCCUGGACUGCUUCCUAGACAGCUCUCUGGCUUGCUCCCUCCUUCACACUUUGACCUCAUGGCACCAAUGGUUGUGCCACCUGACACUCUACCCUACUGAGGUCAUUUGCCCAGAGUGGAUUUGCCAUACAUAGAUUUUUUUCAGCAUUAAAAAACUUCAACAUUAAAAAUCUAUUAAAAGAUGAUCUUUGAAUUAAAUCUCUCCUUUGUGUCCUCAUGUUCACAUUAAUUUGAUGUGUUGUAUCAUCGUUUACAAUGCUUAUUGCUUCUGCAUUGCUUUACUUUACUGACAAGUAUUUAUUAUACACAUAUAUUUUAUUUUAGACAUUACAAAAACAUAUUUUUGUGCAUUUUGGAUUUCCUACAUUUACUUACUGUACAGACAAGUAUAUUUUAUAC